GGUCGGUUAGCUCAGUUGGUAGAGCGGAUGGCUGUUAACCAUCAAGUCGUAGGUUCGAAUCCUUCACCGACCG
rnacentral:tRNA from 1 species